rnacentral:lncRNA from 1 species
AUUGGGCAAAAACUCAAUGACUGAGCGAAGAUGAUUUGCUUUUUUUUAUGUUUAGAUCUAAAAAUACUUUAUCACAUAAAAUUUUUAUCAAAAUAAGAUUACGAACCUAUAGGCAUGCUUUUCUAACACAAAUAAGUUUUCAAAUAAGAGGCGAUUACUGCAUAAUUCCCCUCCCCUUAGGCGAUCCACCCCAAAUUUAUUUUAUAUAUAUAGGUAGGGUUAGAGAAUUAUACUCAUUGUAACAGAAAUAACGAAUGAAAAUAUACAAAACAUUAAAAUAAAUGAAGCUUCGUCUGAAAUUUCUUCUAGGCCACUCUUCAUCAUCUUAAACUUUAAGUUCAAAACCUGCUAGAAUAGGUAAGCUAUCACAUAUACAAUGGAUAAAUGAUUGUAAUAUAGUAGACUCAUAGUAGCAAAUUACUCUCAUAUAUAUGUAAAUAACACACAAAAAGAAAUAAAGAAUAGUCAUAGUUAUAUUAUCAAACGUAAAAGGAUAGUGAAACUAACUUAGAUGCUUCCUUGUUGUUUCGUUUUUCAACACACAAAUAUUUAUAAUUAUGUAAAUAAAUCAAAUUAAAAUUAAUAAAUAAUACUAACCAAUUAUGCAGAAAAGAUUAUCAACAAUAGAGACAGAGUAAUCCCAAUACAACAAAGUAGCAAAAGCACUUGAAUAUUUGCCGGAAUCUUAACUUAUUUUUAAGAGUAGAGCAAUAUUAUUAGUAUUCAAGUAUGAGAGUGAGUUAAGAAAAAGGUACCACUUAUUUUAGAAGAAUGAGUGAUGAGUUGAGAGAAUGAAUGUGUGCAUGUGCAAUGAGAGAAUGAGAGAACUUUUAACAAGAGUUAGUGUUGAAAUUGAGAGGAGUGAGUCUUAUUAUAUAGCAAAGAGGAGGAGCACAUAAGAAAAUAAAUAAAUUAACGAGUAAAUUAUUAAACUAUUUUCUUAUUUUCGCGGAGGGCCAAAAUCAGAAAAAUAAUUUAAUUAUUUUUUACCAAAUAUAAGCAAGUAAGAAUAAAUUUAAAGAGAGUAAUAUUUAUUUUCCUUAAAUAAAGAGGAGCCAAAAUCAGAUUUUUUAAAAAAAUAUGCCAUUACCAAAAAUAAUUAAGUAAGAAGUAAAAUUAGGAACAAAAAAUAUUUUUCUGAAAUAAAGAAGAGUAAAAAAUUAGAUUUUAUUUUAAUUAUUUUUUAUUAAAAAAAUUGAGAGAUCAAUCAUUUUUCAAGUAAGGAAAAAUGAUCAAUUAAUAUAUUUUACUUAAAUAAUAGCAUUGAAUCAUAUUUUUUUUUAAAAUAUAUUUUACCAAAUUAACCAAGGAAGAGAAAAAAUUUUAUUAGAUAAAGAAGGACCAAAAUUAGAAUUGAUUUAAGGCAAUUUUUCAAACAUAAAGCAAGUAGGAAAUUGGUUUAAGUUCUAAUUAACCAAAGGAAGCAAAUAAGGCUUAAGAGAAGAGAUAAAUUGGGAUCCACUAGUAUGUAUAUCCUUAACAAAUUUACAGUGAAGUCAAUCAAAGUUUACCUUAUAAUCAUCUUAACUAAGGAAAUAAUCAGUUUACGGCUUAACACAAUUAAAGGGACCAAACAUUAGUUCAUCAUUCCUUACUACGAAUGUAGCACCCUUACAUGGAUAUAUUACAACUAACUUCCACAAAUCAUAGACUUAGAGCAGUUUAUUACAAAAUUAAGCUAGCCAAAUGACUAACUUUAACAGGCAUAUUCACCACCAAAUUAGACAAAUGAAAGCAAUUUCAUAUUAGAACACAGAUAGAGAAUCAAUGAGCCACGAAUCUUCAAUCGCAACAGUAUAAUGUCAAGCAAACCUAAAAUUAAUCCAUUCUAGCAUAAAGAGGUUUAAACCCGGAGAACACCAGUAAUCACAAACGGUGACAAACACUAUGACCUCAAAUCAGGAGUUGAAUCCCACAUUUUCAUGUAAUAUACUCUAAGAAAGCAACAAGACGAACAUAGAGAAUGUAAUAGUUUCAUUAAAGAAUGAAAAAAAUGGCUCGACGGAUCUGAAAGAUCCGUUUAUUAUAAAUUGAUUGAUGAUCUCAGCAAACUGUAGCUAAGUCGGUAACUGCUUUCAUCCUCACUUGUUGGAGUUAUUGUUGUCCCCUUCGCCGGAGCUGUUGGUGGCCAUGGAACUCUGCCGAAGUUGCGGCUGUUGCUGAUUUUAGAGAUGAGAGGAAGAGAAUGGAGACGGAGAAGGGGAGGAAGACGAGAGGGAGAAGGGAAGAGGGGGGAAGAAAAAGUGAUACGAAAGGGACAGGAGAAGAGGGAGGAUGGUGGUGGAGAGAGGGAAGGCAGCUUGGUGGUCGGAAAAAGGGGGAGAGAGAGGAGGAACGACGGGAGAGGGAAGAAGAAGAGAGGGGGAGAAAGUGGAGGCGGCUGGAAUGAAGGGAGAGAAGAGAGGGGAAGGCUGCUAGAGAGUGGAGGGAGAAGAGAAUGAAAACUUUUUUAGGAAUUAGAAUCUCUUAGUUAGAAUAGGUAGGUUACAUCUGAACCAUGAGAUUAGUUUAGAUGGACGACUAGUAUUUAAUCUAGGAUUUAUUUUAAAGAUGAACGGAUGAGAUCAAAAGAUGAAGUCUUGAAAUUAGAUUGUGAAAAAUAUGGAAUGACUAAAAUUUUAAUUAAAUUGGCUAGAAUUGAAAUGAAAGAGUGGCUAUGAUUGGAAUAAAAUUUGAAG